ensembl:snRNA U6 U6 spliceosomal RNA
GUGCUCACUUCAGCAACACAUAUACUAAAAUUGGAACCAUACAGAGAAGAUUAGCAUGGCCCCUACUCACAGAUUACACGUGAUUUUUUAACAACAGCAAAAAGACCUU